rnacentral:rRNA from 1 species
ACUCCUACGGGAGGCAGCAGUGGGGAAUAUUGCACAAUGGGGGAAACCCUGAUGCAGCCAUGCCGCGUGUGUGAAGAAGGCCUUCGGGUUGUAAAGCACUUUCAGUAGGGAGGAAGGUAGUGUAGUUAACACCUGCAUUAUUUGACGUUACCUACAGAAGAAGCACCGGCUAACUCCGUGCCAGCAGCCGCGGUAAUACGGAGGGUGCGAGCGUUAAUCGGAAUUACUGGGCGUAAAGCGCAUGCAGGCGGCCUGUUAAGUCAGAUGUGAAAGCCCGGGGGCUUAACCUCGGAAUUGCAUUUGAAACUGGCAGGCUAGAGUCUUGUAGAGGGGGGUAGAAUUUCAGGUGUAGCGGUGAAAUGCGUAGAGAUCUGAAGGAAUACCAGUGGCGAAGGCGGCCCCCUGGACAAAGACUGACGCUCAGAUGCGAAAGCGUGGGGAGCAAACAGGAUUAGAUACCCUGGUAGGAUAGCG